rnacentral:lncRNA from 1 species
UGUCCAUGUGAAAUGUCUUCUUCCAGUUAUUUACGCAUGGAAGCAUUUCUGUUGUCCUGAGGGUACAUAUUAGUCUGGUUUGCGCUUAUUUGGCUGUGAUCCAGUGGCACACUCUGCCCAGACAUCUUUUAUAAAUCAUGCCCAAUGUACUCCCAUGCAUUCUUUAGAGGACCACAACACAGAGUACAGCAUGUCCCUGGAUUCUUGGUACCAGCUUCUGACUCAACUGCAGUGUGCAUAUUUUGUGCUGGAGGAUCUUUUUACUGCAGUACUUAAUGUUCGGUGAGAGUUUAAUCAAGAAACAUGAGUAAUUGGCAUUAGCAUCCACUUCUGAGCAAGAGAACAGCUUUGAUAGCAUCUACACUCAUUAGACAUUUCGUUCCAAACACUGUUCAUUCCAGUCAGCACUCUUCAUAUUGGCUUCUGCUUUGUAAAUACAGCACAGAUUCUGCUGGGCACAGAAGCAGGCCUUGAGCAAACACUCCGUGGUUACACAGAAGCAAGAAGCUUUAACUGUUGAAAAGAAACAAGUGGAACACAACAGUUACUUAAAAAAAAAUUUCUAAGCAGUGUGCAAGACAACAGAAAGAUCUUCAAUGACAGGACACAGGAUUUAUAUACUGGCUGCCUACCUGAAAUGAGUAGGAUUGGUUUUGCUCACGUUCUGGUGUGAAUCACUGGAAAAGCUCAAGCUUCCACUGGGGAGGCCUGAUGAAAACUUGUUGGGCUGCACUCGUGGAACCAAAACAAUAAUAUGCAGUGAAGGGGCAUCAGCCAUGCCAGGAGUGAGAUGGGAGGGAGCCAAACAGGUCUCUGUGCUUUGCCCUUGUCUGCUUGUGUAAGAAUCCUGAACAGAAAAUGGAGUGCACCAGCAGGUCUGCACCACAGCCCUUGUCCUCCUACCACUGGAAUCAAGGCAGGUAAAUCUGCAGUCAAAACCAGCACCCACAGUCAAAUUCAGCCAAUAUGCUACACUUCUGCUACUGAAAAAAAAUAUACACUCUGUUUUCCCCAUUUCAUUAUUAUGAAUCAACUUUUUCUCAAGUUUAAAGUGUUUUGUCCUGCUUCAGGGAAAAAAAAUAACCACAUCUCCAUGAGAAGAAAGAGACAAGAUUUGUUAUCUGCUAGUAGAGUUCAUGGGACUUCUUAAAAAAAUUUGUACAUAGGUCUUCAUUUAGUUGGCAAGGCUGACUAUAAAUAGAACUCCUCAAAGAUUCUUUCAAACAUAGUGUCUUAUUUUCUCUUAGGGGAAGCACCUGACAUUUAAAUGCCUCUCAAGCAGAGUUCUUCAUUCUGGUGACUUCUAUAGAAACAGUUUCCAAACCUUAUCUCCAGAUAACAAAGACCUUUGGAAAAGAAGUGUGAAAACUGGGAUCUUUUGGGAAAGGCAGAGGUUACCUCACAGCUCAAAGCAGAGGCAGCAUGGAUCACUGAGUAAGGCAAUGAACUGAGACUGCAGAGCUUCUGCAGAAUGACUUGCUGUGUUCACCUUUCUCCUGUUGUGUACUGAGAUUAAAAUUGCAUAGAGGCAUGGACUUUUCCUUAGUAAGCAUUUCUAUAUCACCUAAUACAACAUUGUUCCCCAUCUUAACAGGCACUUCUGCAUGCACUAAAAACAAAAUACAAUAAAACAAAUAAAUAAAGGAGAGUAAGUCA